UACGUAGGGGGCAAGCGUUGUCCGGAAUCAUUGGGCGUAAAGCGCGUGUAGGCGGCCCGGUAAGUCCGCUGUGAAAGUCGGGGGCUCAACCCUCGAAUGCCGGUGGAUACUGUCGGGCUAGAGUGCGGAAGAGGCGAGUGGAAUUCCUGGUGUAGCGGUGAAAUGCGCAGAUAGUCGGGAGGAACACCAGUGGCGAAGGCGGCUUUCUGGCCUG
rnacentral:rRNA from 1 species